AACGAACGCUGGCGGCAUGCCUAACACAUGCAAGUCGAACGAGAUCUUCGGGUCUAGUGGCGCACGGGUGCGUAACGCGUGGGAAUCUGCCCUUUGGUUCGGAAUAACGGUUGGAAACGACUGCUAAUACCGGAUGAUGACGAAAGUCCAAAGAUUUAUCGCCAGAGGAUGAGCCCGCGUAGGAUUUGCUAGUUGGUGUGGUAAAGGCGCACCAACGCGACGAUCCUUAGCUGGUCUGAGAGGAUGAUCAGCCACACGGGGCCUGAGACACGGCCCAGACUCCUACGGGAGGCAGCAGUGGGGAAUAUUGGACAAUGGGCGUAAGCCUGAUCCAGCAAUGCCGCGUGAGUGAUGAAGGCCUUAGGGUUGUAAAGCUCUUUUACCCGGGAUGAUAAUGACAGUACCGGGAGAAUAAGCUCCGGCUAACUCCGUGCCAGCCGCCGCAGUAA
rnacentral:rRNA from 1 species